AAUAAUGCAGUCGAGCGGAGAUUUGAAAAGCUUGCUUUUCAAAUCUUAGCGGCGGACGGGUGAGUAACACGUGGGCAACCUGCCCUUGAGACGGGGAUAACUCCGGGAAACCGGAGCUAAUACCGGAUAACACAUAUCUUCGCAUGAGGAUAUGUUAGAAGGUGGCUUUUAGCUACCACUCAAGGAUGGGCCCGCGGCGCAUUAGCUAGUUGGUGAGGUAACGGCUCACCAAGGCGACGAUGCGUAGCCGACCUGAGAGGGUGAUCGGCCACACUGGGACUGAGACACGGCCCAGACUCCUACGGGAGGCAGCAGUAGGGAAUCUUCCGCAAUGGACGAAAGUCUGACGGAGCAACGCCGCGUGAGUGAUGAAGGUUUUCGGAUCGUAAAGCUCUGUUGUUAGGGAAGAACAAGUACCUGUUAAAUAAGCAGGUACCUUGACGGUACCUAACCAGAAAGCCACGGCUAACUACGUGCCAGCAGCCGCGGUAAUACGUAGGUGGCAAGCGUUGUCCGGAAUUAUUGGGCGUAAAGCGCGCGCAGGCGGUUCCUUAAGUCUGAUGUGAAAGCCCACGGCUCAACCGUGGAGGGUCAUUGGAAACUGGGGAACUUGAGUGCAGAAGAGGAGAGCGGAAUUCCACGUGUAGCGGUGAAAUGCGUAGAGAUGUGGAGGAACACCAGUGGCGAGCGGCUCUCUGGUCUGUAACUGACGCUGAGGCGCGAAAAGCGGUGGGGAGCGAACAGGAUUAAUACCCUGGUAGUCCACGCCGUAAACGAUGAGUGCUAAAUGUUAGAGGGUUUCCGCCCUUUAGUGCUGCACAGACGCAUUAACACUCCGCCCUGGGGGAG
rnacentral:rRNA from 1 species